UUAAGCGACUAAGCGUACACGGUGGAUGCCCUGGCAGUCAGAGGCGAUGAAGGACGUGCUAAUCUGCGAUAAGCGUCGGUAAGGUGAUAUGAACCGUUAUAACCGGCGAUUUCCGAAUGGGGAAACCCAGUGUGAUUCGACACACUAUCAUUAACUGAAUCCAUAGGUUAAUGAGGCGAACCGGGGGAACUGAAACAUCUAAGUACCCCGAGGAAAAGAAAUCAACCGAGAUUCCCCCAGUAGCGGCGAGCGAACGGGGAGCAGCCCAGAGCCUGAAUCAGUGUGUGUGUUAGUGGAAGCGUCUGGAAGGACGCGCGAUACAGGGUGGACAGCCCCGUACCACAAAAAUGCACAUGCUGUGAGCUCGAUGAGUAGGGCGGGACACGUGGUAUCCUGUCUGAAUAUGGGGGGACCAUCCUCCAAGGCUAAAUACUCCUGACUGACCGAUAGUGAACCAGUACCGUGAGGGAAAGGCGAAAAGAACCCCGGCGAGGGGAGUGAAAAAGAACCUGAAACCGUGUACGUACAAGCAGUGGGAGCACGCUUAGGCGUGUGACUGCGUACCUUUUGUAUAAUGGGUCAGCGACUUAUAUUCUGUAGCAAGGUUAACCGAAUAGGGGAGCCGAAGGGAAACCGAGUCUUAACUGGGCGUUAAGUUGCAGGGUAUAGACCCGAAACCCGGUGAUCUAGCCAUGGGCAGGUUGAAGGUUGGGUAACACUAACUGGAGGACCGAACCGACUAAUGUUGAAAAAUUAGCGGAUGACUUGUGGCUGGGGGUGAAAGGCCAAUCAAACCGGGAGAUAGCUGGUUCUCCCCGAAAGCUAUUUAGGUAGCGCCUCGUGAAUUCAUCUCCGGGGGUAGAGCACUGUUUCGGCAAGGGGGUCAUCCCGACUUACCAACCCGAUGCAAACUGCGAAUACCGGAGAAUGUUAUCACGGGAGACACACGGCGGGUGCUAACGUCCGUCGUGAAGAGGGAAACAACCCAGACCGCCAGCUAAGGUCCCAAAGUCAUGGUUAAGUGGGAAACGAUGUGGGAAGGCCCAGACAGCCAGGAUGUUGGCUUAGAAGCAGCCAUCAUUUAAAGAAAGCGUAAUAGCUCACUGGUCGAGUCGGCCUGCGCGGAAGAUGUAACGGGGCUAAACCAUGCACCGAAGCUGCGGCAGCGACGCUUAUGCGUUGUUGGGUAGGGGAGCGUUCUGUAAGCCUGUGAAGGUGUACUGUGAGGUAUGCUGGAGGUAUCAGAAGUGCGAAUGCUGACAUAAGUAACGAUAAAGCGGGUGAAAAGCCCGCUCGCCGGAAGACCAAGGGUUCCUGUCCAACGUUAAUCGGGGCAGGGUGAGUCGACCCCUAAGGCGAGGCCGAAAGGCGUAGUCGAUGGGAAACAGGUUAAUAUUCCUGUACUUGGUGUUACUGCGAAGGGGGGACGGAGAAGGCUAUGUUGGCCGGGCGACGGUUGUCCCGGUUUAAGCGUGUAGGCUGGUUUUCCAGGCAAAUCCGGAAAAUCAAGGCUGAGGCGUGAUGACGAGGCACUACGGUGCUGAAGCAACAAAUGCCCUGCUUCCAGGAAAAGCCUCUAAGCAUCAGGUAACAUCAAAUCGUACCCCAAACCGACACAGGUGGUCAGGUAGAGAAUACCAAGGCGCUUGAGAGAACUCGGGUGAAGGAACUAGGCAAAAUGGUGCCGUAACUUCGGGAGAAGGCACGCUGAUAUGUAGGUGAAGCGACUUGCUCGUGGAGCUGAAAUCAGUCGAAGAUACCAGCUGGCUGCAACUGUUUAUUAAAAACACAGCACUGUGCAAACACGAAAGUGGACGUAUACGGUGUGACGCCUGCCCGGUGCCGGAAGGUUAAUUGAUGGGGUCAGCGCAAGCGAAGCUCUUGAUCGAAGCCCCGGUAAACGGCGGCCGUAACUAUAACGGUCCUAAGGUAGCGAAAUUCCUUGUCGGGUAAGUUCCGACCUGCACGAAUGGCGUAAUGAUGGCCAGGCUGUCUCCACCCGAGACUCAGUGAAAUUGAACUCGCUGUGAAGAUGCAGUGUACCCGCGGCAAGACGGAAAGACCCCGUGAACCUUUACUAUAGCUUGACACUGAACAUUGAGCCUUGAUGUGUAGGAUAGGUGGGAGGCUUUGAAGUGUGGACGCCAGUCUGCAUGGAGCCGACCUUGAAAUACCACCCUUUAAUGUUUGAUGUUCUAACGUGGACCCGUAAUCCGGGUUGCGGACAGUGUCUGGUGGGUAGUUUGACUGGGGCGGUCUCCUCCUAAAGAGUAACGGAGGAGCACGAAGGUUGGCUAAUCCUGGUCGGACAUCAGGAGGUUAGUGCAAUGGCAUAAGCCAGCUUGACUGCGAGCGUGACGGCGCGAGCAGGUGCGAAAGCAGGUCAUAGUGAUCCGGUGGUUCUGAAUGGAAGGGCCAUCGCUCAACGGAUAAAAGGUACUCCGGGGAUAACAGGCUGAUACCGCCCAAGAGUUCAUAUCGACGGCGGUGUUUGGCACCUCGAUGUCGGCUCAUCACAUCCUGGGGCUGAAGUAGGUCCCAAGGGUAUGGCUGUUCGCCAUUUAAAGUGGUACGCGAGCUGGGUUUAGAACGUCGUGAGACAGUUCGGUCCCUAUCUGCCGUGGGCGCUGGAGAACUGAGGGGGGCUGCUCCUAGUACGAGAGGACCGGAGUGGACGCAUCACUGGUGUUCGGGUUGUCAUGCCAAUGGCACUGCCCGGUAGCUAAAUGCGGAAGAGAUAAGUGCUGAAAGCAUCUAAGCACGAAACUUGCCCCGAGAUGAGUUCUCCCUGACUCCUUGAGAGUCCUGAAGGAACGUUGAAGACGACGACGUUGAUAGGCCGGGUGUGUAAGCGCAGCGAUGCGUUGAGCUAACCGGUACUAAUGAACCGUGAGGCUUAACCUU
rnacentral:rRNA from 1 species